CAGUAGCCGCGGUAAUACGUAGGGGGCAAGCGUUAUCCGGAUUUACUGGGUGUAAAGGGAGCGUAGACGGAAUGGCAAGUCUGAAGUGAAAUGCCCGGGCUCAACCCGGGAACUGCUUUGGAAACUGUCGAUCUGGAGUGUUGGAGAGGUAAGUGGAAUUCCUGGUGUAGCGGUGAAAUGCGUAGAGAUCAGGAAGAACACCGGAGGCGAAGGCGGCUUACUGGACAGAGACUGACGUUGAGGCUCGAAAGCGUGGGAAGCAAACAGGAUUAGAUACCCCUGUAGUCCCUGUCUCUUAUAC
rnacentral:rRNA from 1 species